UUAUGUUUCUCUUCGUUUUCUUGACCACAAGACAUAUUUACUCAGGAAUUGAUGAUCUACUACUCAAGUAAUUGUUAUGAAUACAAAUAGCAAAUUUUUCGUGCCUCCUACGUAUCUCUGGGCUAAACAGAGAUGGUUAUCAUUUAUUUAUUUAACAAGAUGUUAAAUGUCUACUAUGUGCCAAGCACUGCAUUCCAUCUGUGUGUGCUAGGGGUUUGUUAGUGUGCCUAUCUUCAGGUUAUGUGAAAGAGUACUGGAUUACAUGCUAAAAGAACCAAAGUCAACUACUGCCUCUCUGACAUACAUGCAGACUUCCCUUGUUCAUUUCUGGACCUCAAUUUCCUCAUCUACAAUAUGAAGAUAAUAAUCUCUGAUCUGACUACAUUGCAAGAUUAUUAUGAAGAUUAAAUAAGUACUUCACCCAGGCUCAUUUCAUUCUUCUACACCUAUUCCAAUGGAAUUGCAAGAGUUAUUGUCCCCCUGGACUUCCGAAGUGGAAAGAAUAGGAGAAAAUGUAAGGAAGCUGCUCUUUGAUCUCCGUGUACAUCAAUUACAGCUCCUCCAGGCAUCCUGAGGGGAAGAUGUAAAGAAUCAGAGCCAGAGGAUAAAUGGUGACUCUGUGGGUCCCGGAAACCCUUCAAGAUCUUUGAAAAUAAGGACUGCUAUAUCAUUCACUAUGUGUAUCCCCAUUCCUAUGCUACAGAGAGAAGAUCUGUCCUCUACAGCCACAGUGGAUAAGGGCAAAUUAGGAAUAAGAAAGAAGCAAUCUUAAGAGCAGAAAGAAAGUUGGGCUGUCCACUGGCAAGAAGGCCGCUAUCUGCAAACCAGGAAGAGAGCCCUCACCAGGAACCACAUUGGUCCACACCUUGAUCUUGGACUUCCCAGCCUUCAGGACCAUGAGAAAUAAAUCUCUGUUGCUUAAGCUGCAGUCUAUGGUAUUUUGUUAUAACAGCCCAAACUGACUAAAACACUAGUGGUGCAGCAUUAUUG
rnacentral:lncRNA from 10 species